rnacentral:rRNA from 1 species
GAUGAGCGCUGGCGGCGUGCCUAAUACAUGCAAGUCGAGCGAACAGACGAGGAGCUUGCUCCUCUGACGUUAGCGGCGGACGGGUGAGUAACACGUGGAUAACCUACCUAUAAGACUGGGAUAACUUCGGGAAACCGGAGCUAAUACCGGAUAAUAUAUUGAACCGCAUGGUUCAAUAGUGAAAGACGGUUUUGCUGUCACUUAUAGAUGGAUCCGCGCCGCAUUAGCUAGUUGGUAGGGUAAAGGCUUACCAAGGCAACGAUGCGUAGCCGACCUGAGAGAGUGAUCGGCCACACUGGAGCUGAGACACGGUCCAGACGCCUACGGGAGGCAGCAGUAGGGAACCGGACGCAGUGGGCGAAAGCCUGACGGAGCAAGGGCGCGUGAGUGAUGGAGGUGUUCGGAGCGUAAAACUCUGUUACGAGGGAAGAACCAAUGUGUAAGGAACUAUGCACGUCGUGACGGUACCGGGUAAGAAAGCAACGGCUAACUACGUG